rnacentral:tRNA from 1 species
GGGGGUAUAGCUCAGUUAUAGAGCGUUCGACUGCAGAUCGAGAGUUCCGCGGUUCAAACCUGGGUGCCCAUUCU